AUUGAACGCUGGAGGUAUGCUUAACACAUGCAAGUCGAAACCCGAAAGCUCCUUCGGGAGCAAGUAGAGUGGCGGACGGGUGAGUAACGCGUAGGAAUAUACCUAGUAGUGGGGGAUAGCCCGGGGAAACUCGGAUUAAUACCGCAUAUGUCUCACGAGAUAAAGAGGGCCUCUUCUUGAAAGCUCUUGCUACUAGAUUAGCAUGCGUCGGAUUAGCUUGUUGGUAGGGUAAUGGCCUACCAAGGCGACGAUCCGUAGCUGGUCUGAGAGGAUGAUCAGCCACACUGGGAGUGAGACACGGCCCAGACUCCUACGGGAGGCAGCAGUGGGGAAUAUUGGACAAUGGGCGCAAGCCUGAUCCAGCAAUACCUCGUGUGUGAAGAAGGCCUUAGGGUUGUAAAGCACUUUCAAUUGGGACGAAAAGUUUAAGAUUAAUACUCUUAGACCUUGACGGUACCUUUAGAAGAAGCACCGGCUAACUCCGUGCCAGCAGCCGCGGUAAUACGGAGGGUGCAAGCGUUAAUCGGAAUUACUGGGCGUAAAGCGCGCGUAGGUGGUUUGAUAAGUCAGAUGUGAAAGCCCUGGGCUUAACCUAGGAACUGCAUUUGAAACUGUCUCACUAGAGUAUGGUAGAGGGAAGUGGAAUUCCACAUGUAGCGGUGAAAUGCGUAGAGAUGUGGAGGAACACCAGUGGCGAAGGCGACUUCACUGGACCAAUACUGA
rnacentral:rRNA from 1 species